CGAAACUCCAAUGAUGAUGAGUCCAAGCUUUUGCAUUGCGGUUGCAACCUCUAUGCCCCCAAAAGAACUAUUUAUUUGUUCCUUUAUCAUUCACGUUUGAAAUAAGGUUUGGUAAAAUGGAGGAAAAAAUAGUUGAAGAUGGAGUUGAUUACUUCAGGACACACUGACUUCACCAAGAAGAACCACUUUAUCCAACUUGGUGUUUCUACGUAUUCUUCUCCUCUACAAACACCUUGGAAAAUUGCUUUCGCGCAUCUACUAACUGGCUCCGAUACUAUAAAAUCUGAACCGUGCUAUUAUAAAGAAAAGAAAUACAAACACAAAACACAUAAUUAACUUAUUUUUAUAUAAAACUAUUAAUUUUUUUUGUUGAAAAUUCUAGUUGGAUGGAAAAUGGUUUGUAAAAGUACUUACUCUUUUUAUAAUCUCAGGAGUUGUCAUAUCCGUGGAGAUUAGUCCAGGAAAAACAAUGGUUACUUUUAUAUCCGGAUUGAGUUCAAUUCUCAGUGCCUCAUAAAAUCCUAACAAUGCUGCUUUGCUUGCCUACAACAAUAAUUAUUAAUUAAUCAAGUAACAUCGGCAUUAUCAAACUAUUAAUUAACUCAAAAAAUUAAUAUUAUUUAAGUAUGUAACUAAUACGUCACCAACGUGUGGCCGGUGGAGGUCUACAUGUGAAUUUGAAUGGUGAAGAUUCUUUAUGUAAACUAACAUAUUAGAUGUCGUAAUUUAUAAGAAAAGCCAAACCUUAUUUUAUAUAUGUUACAAUAAAACAUAGGAAAUAAGUAUGAACAUAUUUCAUAUAUGUUAAGCAGAAGAAUUCUUACAGAAUAAAUGGUUGCCACUGGGAUAGCUAUCUUUGCUGCAGCAGAAGCAAUCACAACUAUUUUUCCUUUACUUUUUCGUAGAUGGGGAAUUGCAUAAUAAGUGAUGUAUGUUGAGCCCCAGAAGUUGGUAUCCUUUAACAUAUACAGAAUUCAAGUAAAUAAUGUUUAUAUGUGGAGAAAUAGAGCUUGAUUAAGUCUUUUUUUUUUAUUAAGUCAUUUUUGCACGUAAACAACAAAAUAUUCCACAUAAUGUAUGUAUUUUAAGAAAAUAGUCGUAUGGAUAUAUGAUAAACAUACAUGUAAUUUUAGUACAAAGGGCCUUUUACAUGGAAAUUCAUAGGAUAUGCAUGAAUCAUCGAUUCACUUAUGAAGUUUAAACCAUCUAAGUCCGUAUUUUGGUAUGAGAUCAUAUUUUCAUUAUAUCACCAUCCACAUUUCAAAGCCGGUAAAAUGCAUGUUAUUGAUCAAGAAAAGGUUUUAAGUAAUAAAGUUAUAAAAGUGGUUAUAUCUAUUUUUCCACAUAUGUAUACAUUUACUUUUGGAAGUGGUUAAAUUUCAUGUAUAUAUAUAUAAUGAUGAACUAAAAUAAAUUCAGGCAUCCUUACUUAGUAAAUUUUAACUUAGAUUUUAGUAUAUGACAACAAUAUGAAUGUGUCUUCCAUUAAUAACUCACCAUUAUAGGAUUAGCGUCUUGAAUUUGGGAGAAAUUCUCAAACAAAACAGUUUGAGAUACACCAGCAUUAUUAAUUAAAUGGUCCACUGUCAAAAUAUAACAACUCGAUUAGAAUAACCCCAACAUAAAUUAAGUCUUAAAUAAGGAACGUAAACAUCAUUAAAACCUUUAUAAAUUAUUAAAAACAUUAAUUGGGUCGAAACCUUAUAUCAAAUUUGGGUAAAUUAACUAAUUUAUUAAAUACUAAUACUUAUAAAGAUUAUACUAUAUUGAAUUAUUGAUGAUAACUUGUUUUAAAUAUUUCCUGUUAGCUGUUAUUUCAUAGUACGUGUAAAUUUCAGAGUUCUGUAUUUGAGUACUCACCUUUUCCAAAAUGACUUAUCGUCUCACUGAUGAACUUCAUGCAAUCAUUAAUCUUAGUAACAUCACCAGGUAUGAUGAUAACGUCCCGUGAACCUAACUUCCGUGAUGUAUCUGCUACUAUUUGUAAACGAUCCUCUCGUCGAGCAACCAAAGCUAGAUCUGCUCCUUUCUUCGCGUACUCGUAUGCAACAUGCUUUUUAUUUCAGCGAAGAAAAAAAAAUAUUAACCCAAACAUGUCAAUUCAGAAGUGAUCCCAAAAGAAAAAAAAAUAUAUUCUGUGUAAAUCCUAAAGUCAAAACCUAACCUCUCCGAUGCCGGAGGAAGCUCCAGUGAUGAGAACUACUUUUCCAGCGACAUUUUCAACGCAAAGAUGCUUACGAACACAAUUUAGAAGUUUGAUAAAAAGAUAGAUUGGGUAGAAGAGGAAAAGGAAAAUGAUGGUAAGAGGAGGCAGAAGAAUAUUGAGAAUGAUGUGAAGCAUAUCCAUGUUGUUUGCAAGAGAACACCUUCCUACUUGACCUUUGCCAGUGAUUAAGAAAAAACAAAACAAAAUGUUGAUUGAUUUCUAAGGCUUUCUCGUGGAAGUCGCCCACUUAUCGGUAGCCCAAUACUACAAGACAAAACACUAUGUCAGUGAAAUAUGCGGGAGCUAUUGGAAUUUAAUACAUUUUUUCGUCAACAUUAAACAAAAAUAUUUGAAGAUCACGAUCUAUACUGAUGCAGCAGCAUCUAGGAGCUCCAACGACUCUUUUCCAUAUUUGAGUUUAAUAUUUCUUUUGGUUUAUUUUCUCACUAUUGAUGUUUUCAGUUUUACUAAUAAAAUUAAGACUUUUAAAGCUCUACAUAUAGAGUUGCUUUGUAACUUAUAUUUUCAAAAAUUAAUAAACUAGUUUUUGAUCUAAUUUAAUUCGUCUUCUUCGAAAAGUUUUAAACGAGUUUCGAUUAAAUUCAUCUUUUUCAAGUUGCGGGUCUUUACUGAAAUCCCUAAAUUAAACUGAGUUCAUGUUCUUACCGCGCCAUCAUAUAAGCCAUCAUAUACGAAUAACAAUCAUAAUUUAUUUAUAAUACUUACUAGAAGGUUACAGUACGUUCGUGUCACUAUAUAAAUCAGACGUCGCUGCAUGGAUUAAUUAUUUAAUACAUGAAACAAAAAUAUAUAUUACUAACAUGAGACGCGUUGCAUCACCACAGAUCGAUUUCUACUUAAGAAAAUUGGACCAUUAUCAUAUAUUUAAAUCAAAUGAUGAUAGUUGUAUUGAUGUAAUAUUAUUAUUGGAAAGGAAUUUUCGUGAUUAAUAUCUAUAUAUAGUAGUUUAAAUUUAGAGGUUUGACUCGAGAUUGUUUUCUUUCUAGAAGAUUAUAUUGAUAGAUCUCAUAGAUCCAUCCAAUUUCAACCAACAUAUUACUCAUAAAUUAGAAUAAAACUGGCGAGUUCUCAAAAUACUAAAACCAAAAGCCAACAUAAAAGACUGAUCAUUUUCUAGAACCAAAACCUAGCAGAUAAAAGAUCUAUUCCUAGAACGAAACAAGAAAACUCUACAAUUACGACUGUUAACAAAUUUUGGAUAGUUCUAUUUUAUUUAGUAAAGAGUAUUCUAUAAAUUUUAUUAUUAUUUGGAAACGUAUUGUUAACAUAUAAUUUAUUUUUUAAUUAAUUCAUAUUAUAUAUUUUGUAUAAAAGAACGUGAAGACAUCUAAACCCACGCGAACGUAUUGUAGACGCUAUAGGGCGACGCCGAGAAGCGCUGCUAUGUUUUUUUUUUUUUUUUUAUGUCUCCUCGAAGAUAUUCUUCUCAAGUUUAAUGGUUAUUUUUUUCUAUAUAUUUAUUUUUACUGUAUUUUAUUGAAUCAUUUUUCUAAUAGAAAAUUUAUUCGAUUUGUGUUCAUUUUUUUAUUUUGAGUUUUUUUUUUCAAAAUGAAUCUUGGAUAUCUGUUGCAAAAUCAGAUUGUACUGGAUGUUUUUUUUUUUUUUCUGAACAAUGUAAGAAUGAGUAACUUAUUUGUCUUUUUAUUACCACCUCUUGCAAAAUUUGUGGAGUCUUUUUGUCUUUUCGUUAAAAUUUUCAUGUAUGCAAAAUCUGGUUUCUGUAUGAUAAACAUUCGCGCGGCUAUAGUAAAUCUCGCCAAAAUCUGUACGAUAGUGAACGUACAUGCGGUGCCGAUAACAAUUUUACAGAAUAUCGCAUCUCGUGAACACAAAGAUUCGUCAUGUUUUGACAUUAAAGAAGUUUUCCAAUCCUUUUAUCAAAAUGAUAACCAAAAAAUGGAGAUUUGUUUGUGUAACUUAGAGGCAACCAAGAGCUUUCAAUGUGAUUCAAUUGAAGUGUUUGUGAUGAUAAUUUAGAUGGUAUUUUCCCAUUCAACAUUACCGGCUGGCGUAUGAUUGAUGAGACAACGAGUUGUAAGGACACACUAACUCAAAAACUUGAAUGAAAGAUGUGAUUGAAACCCUAUAGUAUGUAGACUAUAGUCAUUGGUGUGACGAUUUUAUGUUUGUACCUUUCCUUUAUGAUGUGGAGUACCAACACAAGAUGUCUCAUAGACGAUACCUCUUUUUUUUUUUAAUUGGAAUACUCGCUUACUCGGUUAAGGAGAUAAUUUUUGAGUCAUUAUUAUCGAAUUGUUCUCACUUUUGAUAUGGAAUGUUCGACUAAGCAACAAAGUUCUGUUAAUGUGUACGUUUAUAAGGUUAGAUAUAGAUCCACAUCGUUCUAAAAUAUCCUCAAAUAAAGGUACAAUCUCCAUAUAUCCCAAUGAACUAACUCAAACUAUGAUUUUUACUAUUCAAUGCAAAAGAAUCUCUUGUUUGUUUGUUUGACACGACUAAAACAAAAGUACCACUACUUAAAUUAGAUAAAUGUAAAAUCUCCAAAGUUUAUGAAAAAAGAAUGUUCCAAUCCAAACCAUUAUGCGAAACUCCAAUGAUGAUGAGUCCAAGCUUUUGCAUUGCGGUUGCAACCUCUAUGCCCCCAAAAGAACUAUUUAUUUGUUCCUUUAUCAUUCACGUUUGAAAUAAGGUUUGGUAAAAUGGAGGAAAAAAUAGUUGAAGAUGGAGUUGAUUACUUCAGGACACACUGACUUCACCAAGAAGAACCACUUUAUCCAACUUGGUGUUUCUACGUAUUCUUCUCCUCUAC
rnacentral:lncRNA from 1 species